GCCAGCCCGCUCAGAAACUUAAAGGAAUUGACGGGGCCCGCACAAGCGGAGGAGCAUGUGGUUUAAUCGAUGAUACGCGAGGAACCUUACCUGGGCUCGAACGUAAGAUGACUGUAGGUGAAAGCUUACAUCUCUUCGGAGCAUUUUACGAGGUGCUGCAUGGUUGUCGUCAGCUCGUGCCGUGAGGUGUCGGGUUAAGUCCCAUAACGAGCGCAACCCCUACCUUUAGUUGCCAUCAGGUAAUGCUGGGGACUCUAAAGGAACUGCCUACGCAAGUAGUGAGGAAGGCGGGGAUGACGUCAAAUCAGCACGGCCCUUACGUCCAGGGCUACACACGUGCUACAAUGGCCGAUACAGAGGGCAGCUACCUGGUGACAGGAUGCAAAUCUCCAAAGUCGGUCUCAGUUCGGAUCGGAGUCUGCAACCCGACUCCGUGAAGUUGGAUUCGCUAGUAAUCGCGCAUCAGCCAUGGCGCGGUGAAUACGUUCCCGGGCCUU
rnacentral:rRNA from 1 species